GUUGGUGUCAUAGUUUAGAUAAGUGGACCAUCAGUCAUCAGUGCAUCCUCUAUCUCGAAUAUGUACAAUAAAUGGACACUAGAUGGUGAUAUAUAAACAAGUAGACAGAACUUUACGUGGAGCUUAAACUGAACUGAAAGUAACGUGAAACAUAACUUUGCUCGUUUCAGUUUUUGUUAUCAGUUUCAGUUUUCAAGUGUAGUGGAGCCCAGGCCUAAUACAAUUUUUUUACAUAACAAGCUACAUCCUAUUUAAUUUUAUCUAUAUCUCUUUAUUAAUAAAAUAGUAAUAAUAAGUUUGACUAUUUAUAUUUUGUAAUACAAAUGCCUUUAAAUACAGAACUAGGAUUUUGCUGUGUAAUAAAUAGUGAAGUUUGGUUAUUUUGUAAUAUUGUGACAAACAUUGUGAACUUGGGGCUAUUAAUUUUAAAAUUUCUCAGAAUUUCAUUAAAAGAUGAAGAGAUUAACUUUUUAAAUUUCCAAGAGUAUUUGUUGUGUAUAAUGAAUAAUAAGAGCAUCUUAAAAAUUUUAAUAAAAAAAAUUGUUACUUACCACCAGUAAAGAAGUUUUUGUAUGUUUUUGGUAUUGUCAUCGUCCGCAAGAUCACAUUCUGUUCUUAGUGAUUUAUUGUUUGAUAAAUUUUUUAUCAUUUGUAUUUUUCUAUACAACCAUUCUGUAAAUUCUUAUAAAAAUCCUGAAAUAAUGAAC
rnacentral:lncRNA from 1 species